UACGUAGGGGGCAAGCGUUAUCCGGAUUUACUGGGUGUAAAGGGAGCGUAGACGGCACUGCAAGUCUGGAGUGAAAGCCCGAGGCCCAACCACGGGACUGCUCUGGAAACUGCGGGGCUGGAGUGCAGGAGGGGUAAGCGGAAUUCCUAGUGUAGCGGUGAAAUGCGUAGAUAUUAGGAGGAACACCGGUGGCGAAGGCGGCUUACUGGACUGUAACUGACACUGAGGCACGAAAGUGUGGGGAGCAAACAGG
rnacentral:rRNA from 1 species